AGAGUUUGAAUCAUGGCUCAGAUUGAACGCUGGCGGCGUGCCUAACACAUGCAAGUCGAACGAGAAAGUUCCUUCGGGAAUGAGUACAGUGGCGCACGGGUGAGUAACGCGUGGAUUAUCUACCCAAAGGUUCGGAAUAACAGUUGGAAACGACUGAUAAUACCGGAUAUCCUGGCAACGGGAAAGGUGGCCUCUACUUGUAAGCUACUGCCUUUGGAUGAGUCCGCGUCUCAUUAGCUAGACGGUAGGGUAACGGCCUACCGUGGCAACGAUGAGUAGCAGGCCUGAGAGGGUGGCCUGCCACACUGGGACUGGAACACGGCCCAGACUCCUACGGGAGGCAGCAGUGGGGAAUAUUGCGCAAUGGGGGAAACCCUGACGCAGCGACGCCGCGUGGAGGAUGAAGGUUUUCGGAUCGUAAACUCCUGUCAGUAGGGAAGAACCCUGCAAGGAAUAAUACGCCUUGCAGCUGACGGUACCUACAGAGGAAGCACCGGCUAAUUCCGUGCCAGCAGCCGCGGUAAUACGGAAGGUGCAAGCGUUAAUCGGAAUCACUGGGCGUAAAGCGCUCGUAGGUGGCUUUGUAAGUCAGGUGUGAAAGCCCACGGCUCAACCGUGGAAUUGCACUUGAUACUGCAUUGCUUGAGUUCGGGAGAGGGUAGUGGAAUUCCAGGUGUAGGAGUGAAAUCCGUAGAGAUCUGGAGGAACACCAGUGGCGAAGGCGACUACCUGGACCGGGGAGGAACGCGGAAAAGCCGUGGGGGAGGCCAAACAGGGACUUAGAUACCCUUGGUAAGUCACGCCGGUUAAACGAUGGGGUACUAGGUGUUGCGGGUAUUGACCCCUGCAGUGCCGAAGCUAACGCAUUAAGUACCCCCGCCUGGGGAGUACGGCCGCAAGGCUAAAACUCAAAGAAAUUUGACGGGGGCCCGCACAAGCGGUGGAGUAUGUGGUUUAAUUCGAUGCAACGCGAAGAACCUUACCUAGGCUUGACAUCCCUGGAACUCUCCCGAAAAGGAGAGGUGCUCUUCGGAGAACCAGGAGACAGGUGCUGCAUGGCUGUCGUCAGCUCGUGCCGUGAGGUGUUGGGUUAAGUCCCGCAACGAGCGCAACCCCUAUCUUUAGUUGCCAUCAAGUGAUGUUGGGCACUCUAGAGAGACUGCCCGGGUUAACCGGGAGGAAGGUGGGGACGACGUCAAGUCAUCAUGGCCCUUACGCCUAGGGCUACACACGUACUACAAUGGCGCAUACAAAGGGCAGCGAUACCGCGAGGUGGAGCCAAUCCCAGAAAGUGCGUCUCAGUCCGGAUAGGAGUCUGCAACUCGACUCCUUGAAGUCGGAAUCGCUAGUAAUCCUGGAUCAGCAUGCCAGGGUGAAUGCGUUCCCGGGCCUUGUACACACCGCCCGUCACACCACGAAAGUUGGUUCUACCCGACAUCGGUGAGCUAACCCGCAAGGGAGGCAGCCGCCUACGGUAGGGCUAAUGUUUGGGGUGAAGUCGUAACAAGGUAGCCGUA
rnacentral:rRNA from 1 species